rnacentral:lncRNA from 1 species
GGGGCGGCGGCGAGGGCUACAAGUGCUGGCCCGCCAAGAAGGGGAGGGGUUCGCGCGCUGCUUGGCCGGCAACCCUGUGCGCCAAGCCAACUGGUCGGUUUCAGUACCAGCUCAUUUGCUCCACAGGAGACUUAAGGGGCUCGGGACGCUGUAAAACACUUUUCUCACGGUCUACCAGCGUUUGCUGCCCUCCCAGCUCGAAGACCCUGGAACUGGAACCCAUUGGCUCCCAGAUACGGGCUGUGGCCCCAAGAUGCUAGUGCCCAACCAAAGGGGUGGGAAAAGUUGAUCUUCCGCGAGUGAGGGGAAGGUGCAAUUCAUUUUCCCAGACAAGACAACCAAUGGAAUACCUCUCGUCUCUCUUCCCUCCCACCUGCGCAAGGCAGAAGUUAGGAUGGCGCCUUCCAUUUUGGCCUGUGUGCACACGCAAGUGUGGAAGGGGAUCUGUGGGCGGAGGUGACAGCAAAGGCAGUUCUGCAGUCCCGCUCGUCGGCGCUUUGCACCAUAGACCUCUCUGUGGCGUGUAAGAUACCAGGUGCCUGGGUGGAAAUAGGAAUGCCACCUCUGACAGCGCACCCCUCAAGGAACCUCUCCUUCUGAUUAGCUGGGCCCCACCCCGAGCGGGGACCAAACGUGUGUUCUCAGCCUUAACAGAAGAGGAGGAAUCACUAAUUCCACAAACAAAUCCAGGUCCCCGCCGGGUGGCAGGGGAGGGAACUCAGAGGGGAGAGAUGCGCCCCUUGUCUUUCCAGGCUUGCUAGAGCCCUCAACAAAGCACAAAAUAAAGAUGGAGCUGUCAUGUGAGGGCUGCAGACAGUCACAGGGUGCCUGCUGGGACAUGGUAGCUCCAGGAAGGCUCGUGUUAGGAUGUGCAGGGGUAGAUGAAGGCACAGUCCUUCCAGGUAGAACAGCUGGGCAGCCAGAAAAUACAGAAAAUGUCACUUAAGGGUAAUUGAGAGUGACUGGGAUCACAGCUGCCCAGCUGAAGCAUAUCCUGGGGGUGUGGCCUGGCUGAGAAGACUGGUGUGGUAGGGCCCCCAGCACACACCUCAGAGAUCAGUUUUGCCUCUGCAUUCCCUGGGAGAAGUCCCCACUAUCCACCAGGAACCCCAACACCACCUGAGCAAAAGUUUUGCUGCACCACUUAAAUAACAUCUACUACUCAGUUUGUCCCUGCAGACAUUCAACUGCGCAGAGCCCAAGCAAGUUAACUUGGUGAUAAAGCCCAGACUAGUGAAAGUUCUAUUUCUAGUCCUCCCCUUCACUUUGUGACCUUGGGUAAGUUCUUGAAACUCCUGAGCUUCAUCUUCUGUAUUUGUAGAAGAAAUGCAUGUUGUUAACCAUAGAGAGUCCUUAUCAGGAUUCCAUGAGGCAAUAACUACAGGGUAUAAGACCCAAAGGAGGCCAAUGAUGUAGGGAAGGGGUCAUGGGACAUCUCUGGUUCUUGGAUAUGGAAUAGGCUUUGCUCUUUAAAUAUAUGCAUUAGUCCCCAGGAAUAGAUUCAGGUAUGGUCUCCCACCAAGGCAUGUGAGGCUCUCAACCCAGAUAAUUUGGGCUGUAUGAUAUUGUUGGAAAUCCUUAGCCUUUCUAACCUGUUUCCCCAUUUAUAAAUUGGUGGCAGUCUUUCUUCUGGGAUUGUUUGUGAGUUAAAUAGAUCAUAUAUGGAAAAUCUUGUUAUGUGCCUAACCAAGGAGGACUCCGUAUAUAGUGAUACUUUUGUAUUCACCCCACUAACUACCAAUGUCCUAUUGAGAUGGGAAGAGUGCUGCAGAGUUAGACCCCACUUUUUACUCCUUACUCCCCCCACCCAACCCCAAGCAAGUAGAAUUGAAGUAACUGUGUUUGUAACCUGGGUCUUGAGGAGAGACACCACGAGACCAGAGAGUUCAGUGAAAUCAAAUGCUGAAGCCCUAAGACACAGCAAUUAAAGUAUGUUGGAGGGGAAAACAUAUUUUGGGAAACUGAAAUGUGAGAUUUUUUUAAAAAAUGUUAUUUCUAUACUCGUUUUGUUUAUACAUUAGUUGUAUGUAUUGUCAUUUUUGUAAUGUUCUAGUGUAGUUUAAUUUAUUCAGGAAUAAUAGCUAAAUUACUGG